UGAGUGCUCUGUGGCUUUGACCCGCUCAGACCCUCUGGGAGAGGAAUGGUCAGUGCCGGCGGCACCCAGGAACGUUUGCCGGACUGUGCUGCUGCAGAUGCCCAGAUACUGCUGCCGAGUACCAGCCCGCCCCAGGUCACACGAUCAUGUAGCAGCAGCGUUUCAGGGAUUGUGGUAAAUCACAACACACAUCUGGCGCCAAGCUUCAGCACCCUCCGACGUCCUUGUUCCAACAUCAGCAAUUGUGGCUGUUCUCCAGGGUAUUUAUGGUGUGCAAGAUGGUUUGGCAUUGAUCUAGCUGCAUUUCAGGGAUGAGAGAAGCAGGAAAUUUCCAUGCUGCUCUGCCAUCUUGGCCCCUGGGAUUCUGAAUAUUUUCUGGUCAUGAGCCCUUUUUGGAUAAAAGGCAGCUUUUUGAAGUGUUUGUCUUUUUUUUUUUUUUUUUU